rnacentral:tRNA from 1 species
UCCCGCGUACGUCAGUGGUAGACUAUUUGCCUUCUAAGCAAAAGGGCAUGGGUUCAACCCCCAUCGCGGGAG